rnacentral:rRNA from 1 species
AACGAACGCUGGCGGCAUGCCUAACACAUGCAAGUCGAACGAGACCUUCGGGUCUAGUGGUGCACGGGUGCGUAACGCGUGGGAACCUGCCCUUAGGUUCGGAAUAACUCCCCGAAAGGGGUGCUAAUACCGGAUAAUGUCUUCGGACCAAAGAUUUAUCGCCUUUGGAUGGGCCCGCGUUGGAUUAGCCAGUUGGUAGGGUAAAAGCCUACCAAGGCGACGAUCCAUAGCUGGUCUGAGAGGAUGAUCAGCCACACUGGGACUGAGACACGGCCCAGACUCCUACGGGAGGCAGCAGUGGGGAAUAUUGGACAAUGGGCGAAAGCCUGAUCCAGCAAUGCCGCGUGAGUGAUGAAGGCCUUAGGGUUGUAAAGCUCUUUUACCCGGGAUGAUAAUGACAGUACCGGGAGAAUAAGCGCCGGCUAACUCCGUG